rnacentral:lncRNA from 1 species
UACUGCAAAAAGAGCUGAGGAGGGAAAUGGCCGCCACAGAGGAAUUUACUCUGGUGUUUGGAUUUCUGUAAUCCCAUCCACUUCAGGAAGGGAAGUUGCAUGCUGCUCAGUUGGAUCCUCUCCGGUCCACAUGCUCUUCCUGUCCAGGCCAGGGCCAGAUGAGGAGGUCACAGAUCACUCCUCCGGACAGGAACACCAGAUGACUUUACACAGUGAGAGCUCUAUGCAUGUUAUGUUCUAUGGACUUUAAACUGGGAUUUGUAUGUGCACUUUAGCUAGUAGGAGACGGAUACAGUGUGUUAUAUGUACUGUAUACCUUUAAAACAAAAUGAAUUCCUUUAGACAGCCUACUGUAUACAUUUCUCACUCAUAUUAAAGGAUGUUCAACACACGCACAGUAUGUGUCUUCAGCUGGUCUUAUCUAACUCAUUUUUUCUGACAUAAAAGCUUGCUAAUAAGCUUCCUAAGGGUUCCGCCCCCUGUUGAGGCUAGUUACUCAUGGGCCCAGACCCACUGGCUUAUAGCAGAUCACCAUGC